rnacentral:rRNA from 1 species
AGGAGAGGCAAUCCAACCUUAUACAUCAAACAUCCGCCCAUAUUUUAAACCGAUAAUUGACAAACAGAUGAAAUUCAUGAAAAUCAAACAAAAUUUAAGCUAGUCUUAUAUUACACGUCGACAUGAUGAUCCUGGACAGAUCCUCGACCCAGGUCAAUGCAAGGUCUGUUUCGGCGUGCACCCAGUGUCCCAUUCUAGCACCAUGUGAUGAUCCUGGACAAAUCCUUGGCCCGGGUCAACGCAAGGUCUGUUUCGGCGCGCACCCAGUCUAGCACCACGUCCGACGUCGCGAAGAACGAACGGCACAUCGCGUUGCACUUCUCCGGCACUCCUCCAGAAUGCCGCCCUAUCAGUUGUCGUCCUAUUGCGCGAGGAGGCGACGCCGCCGCCACAUCCGAGGUAGUAGACGAGGAGGUCGCGCGUGUUGGCUAUCGUCAGCGCGAGAGCCUUCUCCUCCUUCUUCAUUGGGCGCCACUAGCCCCGGACUCGCAGACUAGCUCUUUGUCGUGCUUGAAAUGGCUCGGCGGGGACGCCGGCUGGACGAGGUGCCCGUACUAGCUGGCGGGGACAACGGCCAUGUCUUGACGCGGUGCUGCGAUGGGGCCGCCGACUCCUCCUUGACGCAGGUGUGCGGCAUGGAGGGUGGAUUCUCCUUGGCGCGGCGGUCUUACGAAGGCGAGGGCGUGCCGGACCGCGGUCGAGGAGCGACAGCUGGAGCAGCAACUCGGUCCGCCUCACAUACUUGUCGUCCAUCCACGCGGCCUCGGAGAGGAGGCGUGGCUGCUGAUCCU